GAGCGUCCUCAGCUGGCAGCCAUGGCUGGCGGGUCCUUCCUAGCAUGUGCUGCGGCCCUCACCUUAUCUUCCGUCAUCAGGGCACAGGCGCCGUGCAGGGCUAUUCCGAGUCCAGGUAGAGAUGGCUGAGCUCGGUGGCAGGAGAUCAGCCUGCGGUGGAGCAGGGACGUUUGCCCUGGGGAGACACGUGCCACCGGGUGAGUUAGGCCUGUUUCUGGGGGAUUCCUUUCCAACCCCAGCUAGUUCCGCCCAAGCAAGCAGAGUCUUCCCUCAAGAGAUUUUUUUUUCCUUUUACGAGAGAACGUUCGGAGGGGCUAGAACUGGGUGAUACGCACUGGCUGCGCUGAAUCUGUCUUUUCUCCCCUCCUAGGUGGACAUCGAGGCCCUGUGGGUGGCCCUACAGCGUGGAAGGGAUGACCGAGCUUUGGGACAUGUCCUGGUAAGUCAGUUGUGGAAGCUCGGUGGCCGGUGAAGCCAAACUCCGUAUCUUGAAUUCAUUUUCAGGACUAAUUCUCUCCCCUAGACUUCUGGGGACUGGGAGACUGCAGUAUGGGUCGUGCAGGAUUGGAGUGAUAUACUUAGCAAGCCUCCAGCGUGCUUGGGUCUGCAGUGACCCUGUGCAUUCCUACAGUGCUUGCCAGAACAAUUUUGAAGUGGUUUGAGGCCUUGCCCUGCCCUCUCCAGAGCAAGGUUAUAGAAAUUUCAGACAAUAUGGCAGACACCUGCCACGUGGAUAAAUUACAAGCCGGUAAGAUUUGCAAUGCUGCACUUUGGGUUUUUUGUUUUGUUUAACUGUGUGGGAUAGUUCUGCACAUGGUGCAGAGGCAAAUAAGUCAUUUCUUGUUGGUUUUGUUUUGAGGCAAGGUUUCUCUGUAGUUCUUGCUGUCCUGGAACUCAAAACAGAUCCACUCACCUCUGCCUCCUGAGUGCUGGGAUUAAAGGUGUGUAAGGCUACACCCAGCUGAAUAUUUUUCUGUGCUCCAGAGUUAGUACAAAGUAGUAAAUCCUUAAAACAGUUACAAAAUACAGCAGGAGUACCAGAGUUGGGUCUCCGGUGUUGAAGUAAAACCCCAGGUGUGGUGACACGUGGUUUUGGUUCCAUUUGGGCUCUAGGCCUUAUUUUUCUUUUUUUUUUUUUCUUUUCUCGAGACAAGGUUUCUCUGUGUAGCCCUGGCUGUCCUGGUCUACUAAGUGAGUGCCAGGACAGCCAAGGUUAUACAGAGAAACCCUGUCUUGAAAAAAACAAC
rnacentral:lncRNA from 1 species